GAUGAACGCUGGCGGCGUGCCUAAUACAUGCAAGUCGAGCGAAGCGGGGACGGGUGAGUAACCCGUGGAUAACCUCCUAUAAGACUGGGAUAACUUCGGGAAACCGGAGUUAACCCGGAUACUUAUCGAUGGAUCCGCGCUGAAUUAGCUAGUUGGUAAGGUAACGGCUUACCAAGGCAACGAUGCAUAGCAGACCUGAGAGGGUGAUCAGCCACACUGGAACUGAGACACGGACCAGACUCCUACGGGAGGCAGCAGUAGGGAAUCUUCCGCAAUGGGCGAAAGCCUGACGUAGCAACGCCGCGUGAAUGAUGAAGGUCUUCGGGUCGUAAAGCUCUGUUAGUAGGGAAGCGUUACCUACUCAGAAAGCCACGGCUAACUCCGUGCCAGCAGCCGCGGUAAUAC
rnacentral:rRNA from 1 species